rnacentral:rRNA from 1 species
AACGAACGCUGGCGGCAUGCCUAACACAUGCAAGUCGAACGAGACCUUCGGGUCUAGUGGCGCACGGGUGCGUAACGCGUGGGAACCUGCACUUAGGUUCGGAAUAACUCCCCGAAAGGGGUGCUAAUACCGGAUAAUGUCUUCGGACCAAAGAUUUAUCGCCUUUGGAUGGGCCCGCGUUGGAUUAGCUAGUUGGUAGGGUAAAAGCCUACCAAGGCGACGAUGCAUAGCUGGUCGGAGAGGAUGAUCAGCCACACUGGGACUGAGACACGGCCCAGACUCCUACGGGAGGCAGCAGUGGGGAAUAUUGGACAAUGGGCGAAAGCCUGAUCCAGCAAUGCCGCGUGAGUGAUGAAGGCCUUAGGGUUGUAAAGCUCUUUUACCCGGGAUGAUAAUGACAGUACCGGGAGAAUAAGCUCCGGCUAACUCCGUG